UUUACAAAUAAGCUCAUUGAAGGUAAAAAAAAAUCCUAAAAGUACAGGGUUCUAAAAUAGUCUAAAAGUGCCUACUGGGUAAAAUCCACAGUACAGGUAAAAUAAGUGCUAAAAUUGUGUGGUCAUCAAAAGUGCUAAAGUGCAAAAGUGCAAAUGUGCAAUAUAAAUAGAAUAAAUAUAUAAAGUAAUAAAAACACUCAAAAAAGAUAAAACACACAUAAAUAAAUAAAUACCAGUACUUUAAAGAAAACACAAGGACACUAAAGACUAAAAACGUGCUAUUUCCUGACAAGAAACAAAAGACAAGUAAAAUAAGACCAUGGACUCAUACAUUUAAAUAACUUUAUUAAAAACUCCAAAAUCAAUUGUUAAUUUAGUUUCUCAUUUAAACCGUUGGGACUAAUUGCUAAUUUAGUUUCUCAUUUAAACCGUUGGGACUAAUUGCUUUCAAUUUUAAUAUCCAUUUUCUUUCUGCCCUUUUACUCUGUUUUGAGGUCCAGCCUGGGUUCCCCUCCAAGGAGCCAAUGGUGAGGUGUGUUGUGUUAUGUGUUUGAAAGUGUGUGACCAGGUGAGUAUUGGAAGUGUUUUUCUGUAUGUUGUUGAGAUGUUGCUUGAGUCUUGUCCGCAGUGUCUGUCAUGUUUCACCAAUGUAAAUGAGAUGGCAAUGUGUGUGUGUACAUGUAAUAGCAUAAACCAGGUUGGAGCUGUCCGGGUGCAAGGAUGUUGUAGAGGCUGAAAGGAAGCGUUUGGAAUAAUUGCGAGACCGGAGAGCUGAGAAGAGGACAGAGGUGGCUUCAUGGAAAUCUGCAAGCAGGAGGAACCUUAAAGGGAACAGUCCAGGUGUCGGGUGGUUUAUGGAUCUUUGGAAGAAGAUAGAAUAUAGCGUGGACGGGGGUGAUCUGGACCAUACAGGAAGUCUCUUUGUUUACGUGUAAUAUAAUGUUUUAGGUGAAGGGUGUUGACUAAUUCUCUUACUUUCUUUUGUGUUGUAGGUUGGAUGGACUGUGGAAUGCGUUUGUAAUAGGUGGAGUUAUUUAACUGUCUAUGGGAUUCAAAAAGGUAUGUGUGUGUAUCUAAUAUUACAAUUUUAGAUCCUUUGUCAGCGGGCUUUAGGAUGAUGAGUGAGUUGUUCUUUAUGUGUGAAAUGGCAUGUUUUUCCUGUAUGGUCAAGUUAUUGGAGGUGAUAUGUGGUCUCUGAUUCAAAUUGUGAUGGACUGAUUUAUAAUCCAUUUUAAUAAGGUGUUGUAUGGUUUUGUCCACCUGGGAAGGAUGUGGUUCCCAGGUGGAGGGGAAGGUGAAGGGAAUAGGUGUAUGAUUGUUUUUAUCUUUGAAGCGAGCUAUUAGUUUGAGGCGACGGUGAUACUGGUAGAUGUCCCUUUGAAGUUCCUCCUGGUUCCUGUGGGUGGGUUGUGGGUUGAAUGAUAGACCUUUUUCUAACAGAGAGGAUUGUGGUUGUGUGAGUGUGAAUGUCUAGGAAAGAUUCAGUAUAAGUGAAUCAGUAGAGUGUGUCAAGGUUGGGUGUGUUGAGAGUGGUAGCCUGGGUUAAGGUGUUGUUUUCCGUAAAUUUAGAAGGGUGCACCAGUGAUAUACAGGGUCACUCCUAGCCUGCUUGUACUGCUGCUUGUUGGCGAUACGAAGUGUUCAUUUCAAAAUGUUACUGACAGAUAGACAAUUUACAAUCGGAUAACCCCGUCAUUGUAAUCAAAAUAUGUCUGCGUUUAUUUGCAAAGCUUAUGUUAGCGAACUAGUAUGAUACUACCACAGGUUGCUUGAUGCAGCCGGCUCAACACACAGGGCGAGUUGACCAUUCACAGUUUUGUGUAUAAAGUUAAAGCAAAAACAUUUACUUAACAUUUAAAAAUGUUGAUUAACUAGUGACAUAGCCUACUAUUGUCUGCUCCACAUUUUUAAUUUUGCAUAGAGUUAAUUUAACGAU